AAACGACUCUCGGCAACAGAUAUCUCGGCUCACGCAUCGAUGAANAACGUAGCAAAAUGCGAUACUUGGUGUGAAUUGCAGAAUCCCGUGAACCAUCGAGUUUUUGAACGCAAGUUGCGGCCGAAGCCAUUCGGCUGAGGGCACGUCUGCCUGGGCGUCACG
rnacentral:rRNA from 1 species